CCACUUCUUUCUUUCUUUCUUUCUUUCUCAAUCUCUUUCUUUCUUUCUUUCUUCUUCUUCC
rnacentral:ribozyme from 14 species